rnacentral:sRNA from 21 species
AGAUGCCAGGGUCAAAAGGUCUAAGCCCACAUGAGCUUGCUCAUAGGUGGGUGAAAGACCUUAGGAACCGCCCCGAUAUGAGCAUAAAAGUGGGAUGAUAAUCCCACGAUAUGCGAAUAUUGGGUAGGAUUGUGGGAGUGCGUAGCACGGAGCAAUCCGUAGGCAUCA